rnacentral:rRNA from 1 species
ACUGAGACACGGCCCAGACUCCCUUGGGAGGCAGCAGUGAGGAAUUUUCCGCAAUGGGCGAAAGCCUGACGGAGCAAUACCGCGUGAGGGAUGAAGGAUUUUGGUCUGUAAACCUCUUUUUUCAAGAAAGAAGCUCUGACGGUACUUGAAGAAUAAGCAUCGGCUAACUCCGUGCCAGCAGCCGCGGUAAUACGGGGGAUGCAAGCGUUAUCCGGAAUCAUUGGGCGUAAAGCGCCUGUAGGUUGUUUAGUAAGUUCGUUGUUAAAGACUAGGGCUUAACCCUAGGAAAGCGAUGAAAACUACUAGACUUGAGUAUGGUAGGGGUAGAGGGAAUUUCUAGUGUAGUGGUGAAAUGCGUAGAUAUUAGAAAGAACACCGGUGGCGAAAGCGCUCUACUGGACCAUUACUGACACUGAGAGGCGAAAGCUAGGGGAGCAAAAGGGAUU